UACGUAGGGUGCAAGCGUUGUCCGGAAUUAUUGGGCGUAAAGAGCUCGUAGGCGGUUUGUUGCGUCGGCUGUGAAAUCCCGAGGCUCAACCUCGGGUCUGCAGUCGAUACGAGCAAACUAGAGUGUUGCAGGGGAGACUGGAAUUCCUGGUGUAGCGGUGAAAUGCGCAGAUAUCAGGAGGAACACCGGUGGCGAAGGCGGGUCUCUGGGACGGUACUGACGCUGGGACGCGAAAGCGUGGGGAGCGAACAGG
rnacentral:rRNA from 1 species